CCCAAAUUACAGAACUCUUCUAAUGCCUUUUUAUAACAUUUUUUCAGUUCUGUAUUAUAUCCUGUUAGUGUGGUUUCUCUCCUAUCUGUACAUUUCUCAGGAUUGCUUCUUCCCUUCCACUUUCUGUGAUCAGCAUUUAUUAUCCAGAUGCUUACCACAAAACAAGGCUUAAGUAACAAAGACACAUGGAUGCUGACCCAGAUACAGCUCACCACCAACUUUUUUCUUUCCUUCCCCUCAGCAAUAAUGUGCUUAUUACCGUGUUGAGGAGUCUUUGUUAAAAGGUUCAGCUUCUCCUACCCUUUGGUGUUAAAAAUAAUCUCAUUAGCUGGAACUUUACUUGAUUAGCAAAAAAGCUCUCAGGGAAGAGGUGCUAGGAUGGACUCAAGGUGUAAAUAAACAAGAGCAAAUUCCAUCCUGCUUCCUUAUCAGCUCCUGGAGACUUUCAGUACUAAAAAGCAGCCCUGGCUCAGAGGGGCAGGGAUGGAGUGAUCCCUGGCUCACUGAGGCAAGGGGAUUUAGGGUGGUCUGCCCUAGGCUGCAGGCUGCUCCACUGCAGCUCUUUCAGGAUAGCUUCACACAAUGCUCUGCAUUUCCCCAGAGUUUGCUGGAGCUUCCCAGCAUGAACAGCUGAUUUCUGCCUGCCCAAGCUUCAAGAAAUGCAGCUGAGUGACCUUGUCCCCUCUGUAUCACUCACUGGGCCAAGGGAAACCUGGGCAGCUGUGCAGGUUGGGGAUACUGAGUGGUUAGAUGGUGCCCAAGGAGAGUCAGUUAAUUGUGUGUUCUGUUCUCUUGCUGACAGGAAAGCUGGGCUUUUUUUUUGUCCAGUAUUGGCAAAGGGACAGUUGAUUUCUGCAGCUCCAUCCUGCAGGAGCCAGAGCGUGCCUCUCCUCUGCCAGAAGACUCUUCUGCUUGGAGGGGUGUCUGAGCCUGACAAGCGUGAUGAGUCUGAAUCAGAGAUAUGGCUACAGAGAAGAGCACGUGCUUGUCUCCUGGAUAUUCCUGCAGCUCUGCAGAAGCACUCUGAACAGCCACAAGUAAGUUGGUCUUUACAGCUUGAAUUUUUUGGGUCAGAUACUGUACCACGUGCCUCGAUAGGCCAUAGUGAAUGA
ensembl:lncRNA